rnacentral:rRNA from 1 species
GAAUUCGUUAUAGCCUCCUUGCUGUUUUGACGUUACCGACAGAAUAAGCACCGGCUAACUUCGUGCCAGCAGCCGCGGUAAUACGAAGGGUGCAAGCGUUAAUCGGAAUUACUGGGCGUAAAGCGCGCGUAGGUGGUUUGAUAAGUUGGAUGUGAAAGCCCCGGGCUCAACCUGGGAAUUGCAUCCAAAACUGUCUGACUAGAGUAUGGCAGAGGGUGGUGGAAUUUCCUGUGUAGCGGUGAAAUGCGUAGACAUAGGAAGGAACA